rnacentral:rRNA from 1 species
UACGGGGGGAGCAAGCGUUGUUCGGAUUUACUGGGCGUAAAGGGCGCGUAGGCGGUCGUGACAAGUCACUUGUGAAAUCUCCGGGCUUAACUCGGAACGGUCAAGUGAUACUGUCGGACUAGAGUACAGAAGGGGCAACUGGAAUUCUCGGUGUAGCGGUGAAAUGCGUAGAUAGUCGAGAGGAACACCUGCGGCGAAGGCGGGUUGCUGGGCUGAUACUGACGCUGAGGCGCGAAAGCCAGGGGAGCGAACGGG